rnacentral:rRNA from 1 species
UACGUAGGAGGCAAGCGUUGUCCGGAAUUACUGGGCGUAAAGCGCGUGUAGGUGGUGGGACAAGUCUGCUGUGAAAGCGCCUGGCUUAACCGGGCGAGGUCGGCGGAAACUGUCCGACUCGAGGACGGUAGAGGGGGGUGGAAUUCCCGGUGUAGUGGUGAAAUUCGUGGAUAUUCGCAAGAACACCAGUGGCGAAGGCGGCUCACUGGCCCGGUACUGACGCUGAGGUGCGAAAGCAUGGGGAGCAAACAGG